AUUCUUCACGCUGCACAGCCUGGCGUGCUGGCGUGCUGGUACUGGAAAGAUUGAGUCGAGACGGAAGUAUUGUCUGUCGUCUUACUAGAAGUAUUGUUGUCAGUAAGAGGUCAGUGUGUGCUCAGUCCAACAUCUGUUUACACCCACAAACGUGCAUAUUCAAGCAGAUGGUCAAUGGUCUCAUCCUUCUGAAUCUUGCAGGAUGCCAGUGUGCCUCAGUUAGUGACAUGCAUAAAAGGAGAGAGCAUGGGACCACGGCACUCUACACCACAGGCAGUGGAGGUUGAAUGAUUGCAGCUCCUCAUACGACAGCAAAGUAGUGUACUUUCAUACAGCAUAAGUUAGUGUUCAUUAUUCACUAUUUUUAUCACCACAUCUAUUAUAAAAUUAAGACAGAUUUUUAUUUUUAUCACCACAUCUAUUAUAAAAUUAAGUGCAACAGGAACAGCUCUUUACGAUACCUCAAAGAGUCUCCGGAGAACAAGUGCACCAUUUGCCAGCCAGAAAUUUUAUUAAAAAAAAAUAAAAA